rnacentral:rRNA from 1 species
AUUGAACGCUGGCGGCAUGCCUUACACAUGCAAGUCGAACGGCAGCACGGGAGCAAUCCUGGUGGCGAGUGGCGAACGGGUGAGUAAUAUAUCGGAACGUGCCCAGUCGUGGGGAUAACGUAGCGAAAGCUACGCUAAUACCGCAUACGAUCUAUGGAUGAAAGCGGGGGAUCGCAAGACCUCGCGCGAUUGGAGCGGCCGAUAUCAGAUUAGGUAGUUGGUGAGGUAAAGGCUCACCAAGCCGACGAUCUGUAGCUGGUCUGAGAGGACGACCAGCCACACUGGGACUGAGACACGGCCCAGACUCCUACGGAGGCAGCAGUGGGGAAUUUUGGACAAUGGGCGCAAGCCUGAUCCAGCAAUGCCGCGU